UAUAAAAAUAAAUUAUAAUAUUUUGAAAGAUAUUUGAUAUUGAUAGAGGCUCGAAAUAAAUAAAUUAUUAUAUGGUAAAUUGCAGGUGAGAUUGUGCCUCACUUGCCUCAUCCGGCGAGCCGCCACUGUUCUCUGGUAAUUACUCGUAAAUCUAAGACGCGAACUCCACAAUACAUGUAAAUAUUGAUGUGAAGUCUGUAUUAGACCACGAGACCUUGUUUUGUGAAAACUUUAAGCUUAAGAAAACAAUAACAAGAAUAUUUUAGAGGGUUCAUGACAAAUGUGACCCCCCGAAUCUGCCAUUGGUUGAUAAAUUCAGCAUGGAGAAUUUUAACAACGUGACAACAACUCUCAAGGAUAACUUAAUACUUUUAUAAUUGUGUAUUGAAUAUAUCAUUAUUUUUGGAUUUUACAUAUCAAGUUCACAAUAAUACCGAGUAUACAAACUAUUUGGCUUAAUAUAUAAUGAUAAAAUGCAUAUUUUAAAAACUAAUGACUACAUUGCGAUACGGAAGACAAGGGGAGACUACCUUAUUAACUAUCCCAAGAAAUAAAAAUGACACGGCUCCGUUCGGAUAUUCGAGUCAUAACUAUUGAAAAAGGAAGAAGCGUUAAAAAUUGCUACAAACCAAUAUCAAAAUUGAAUACAAAAAAAAGUAGGAAAAUAUGUCAUGGAAAGCUUUUAUCUUGAUUAUUAAAAUAAAAACUCUAUAACUAAUAGGACUUUAUUGCUUGUUCUAUCGGCUUUUAUUAAAGCACAUAUGGACAGAGAUUUUAUUUAACAUUAACCAGAUAAAUCAAACAAAAAUACAAUUAUUUCGGUGCACUAAAAUAACCGAGGAACAAGGAAUACGUCCGUGAAGUUUAAAAGUUAUUGAUUACUUUCUAUAAGAGUGCGUAAAUCAUGUUUCAGAAGUAAUUAUUUUUCAUAGAAACUGAUGUAGCAUGACAUAAAAUGUAGAUAUUAUUUUAACAUGAAAGGAAAUCGAUAAUAUUUUAACAUAACCAAUAUGAUGUAAGCGUAAUAUCUGGUACGUUUUAAGAGCCUAAAAGAAAACAUUCUUCAUAAUAUAAAUAAUAUUUUACUUUUCCCGUUUAGUAAUCAAGAACUUUUUUUUUCAAAAGACUAAAAUUUUAAUUAAUCAAUAAGAACGGCAUUCGGCAAUCCAGUACACUUUUUUUUAAGACGAAUUAAAAUGAUUCAACCUUAUUAAUUAUUACUGACAAUAUUGUGAGUUAUUAUGCCAGAGAAAAAAUUAAAAAUAUAUAUAUAACAAUCAUUGUUCAUUAUGUCUGUUAUAGAAAUCCGACAGAAUGACUUAAAUAGUAAUUACCAUUUACACUUCGGUUUCAUUGUCCACAAACAGGUUAAUCAUUAUGUUUCUUUUCUGUAAAAUAAGCCAAUAUUGAUAUAAAUCUACCUAAUUUUCAUACAACAGUAUUGCACAUACUAAUGCAGAUAUUUUAAAUGCUAAAAUAAACGUUAGAUCGUGUUAAGAUAUUUCAAUUGGUUAAUACUACUCUUAAAGCAACACUUUUUUACU